GUCACAGCCCGUCCCAAAGUUUUACACUCGUGAUUGUAAAUUGACGGAAUUUCCCUUAAACGUGAUUAAGAUAUGUGAAUCAUAUAUUGGUGAAAUAUAUGUUUCUAAGUUAUUUGGAGAUGGAAUUUUAUGAUUUGGGGUUAGGUAGGACCACACACCUCAAAUCCCUCCCUAUUUCCCGUACCCUGUCUCUCUCUCUCCUCCCUCACAAUCUCUCAUUCUCUGUCUCUCUCCCUCUCCUUCGAACUCACACAGACGAGCUCCAAAACCACCCUAAAUCUAUACCAACGACGGAGUUAAGACCACCAUCGAACUCCUGGAGACUCCACGAUCACGUAGACACCAAUUUCAGGUAAGUUUUACUUCGGAAAACCUAGAUUCUAAACUCCCUGUGAAAGUGCACUGUUCAUGAUCUUCGAAUUGACUUUGUUUUAGGACAAUCCAAGCUCACAGUGAGCUUAGUAAGGUUCCAAGGAAGCUCGGAGUGCUUCGUUGGAAGUUUUUGGACGUAAGAACUCGGAGAUCGACAAGUUCAAAGUUUGGCCGGAGCUUUCGAGGCAUUUUCCGGCGAAUCCCCGGCGAGUUAGGAGUCGAGGUAGGUAUCAAUCUCUUCGUCUCGUCAAGUACUACAACUUUCCUUUUUGUUUCACUCAAUUUCGUUGAGUAUUGAAGAAGUUAUACUCAUUUGAAAAAUACCCAGUUUCCGGCGACCUCCGAGGCUUUCGAGGCAGUUUCCGGCCAAACCACGGCGAACUAGGUGUUGUGCAAGGUACCAUUUUCUUUGUCUCUUCAAGGGCUACAACUUUCGUUUUUGAAUCACUUGAUUUCGUUGAGAAAUGACAAAGUUAUGACAAUUUGAAAAACUGCCCGGAAAACGGCCGCCGGAAAAACCAGUCCGGCGACCCAAGGAAGAAGAAGGUGCUACAGUUAAAAAAAAAAAAUUAAAUAAAAUUAUUUUAAAAAUAUGUCGACGUCCGUGACGUCGAGUAGAUCACCGUGGUAUAUUCAUAUACCCAAUUUGAGCACCGUAUGAGAAAGUUAUUAAGGAUUGUUGGUUAGGUGUUCGAAUAACGUUUUAUAGUUUUGGUGAAAAUGUGAAUUGACGAUCCGACCGUUGGAUCGUUACCAAACUUUGAUACGUUGUAAUACGUAAUAUUUUUGAGGAUUAUUGGAACUUACGGAUUGGGAAUCCGAGUUACGGAUCUUCCGGAAUUGGAAUUGUAAGUUCCAUAAAAUAAAAUGUUAACCGUCACUUAGUUUUGGAAAUUGACGGAGAUCCGACCGUUGGAUGGUAAUGAAAUUUUAGGAAGUUGUCCUAGAGGUAUAUUGUGGACCUCUGGAAGUUAUGGAUUUAAAAUCUGAGUGGCAGAUCUUCCGGAUCGAACUACGUAGUGACGUAUUUUAUAUAAGUUAUAUAUUCUAUCGACUAUGAAUUCUGAGGUUGGAAUUAAUUAUUGUUUUAGGCGCCGAUCGUCAUGACGCCUUGGCGUAUUGUGCUAGGGAGUUGUAGGGCGAACUCCAGGUGAGUGGGGCAGUUUUGUUUUCCGUAUACAUAUAUACUUGCCGUUUCCCAGAAAUUGAAAAUGCAUGAAAUUAUGCUUUUAAAUGAAAAUGUAUAAAAGUAUAUGAGAUAUAUUAGUUGAGAUGCCAUGCAUAAAAGUAUAUGAAAAGUAUAUAGAAAUGUGAAUCGAAUUGCCAUGCAUGAAAUGAUAUAUGAAAAGUAUGAAUUGAGAUAUGAUGCAUAUGAAUGUGAAAUGGUGCGGCGGACGCACAGAUGAGUAUCAGGUGAGUAUUUAAUUACUGUUAUGAUGAUGUUGAUAUAUAUUGAGCUCAAAUCCUGCACCAUGGUUUAGUGCUUAUAGUAUUCACCGCAUCGCACGCUCGCCUUGGAUCCAAGUAGAUGCUAGUCGUACAGUCCACGCGGAGUGGGUACGACAGGCCAGUCGCGAGAGUGUUAGUGAGAUUCCGACUGGUGGGUGACCUUAGAUUAUGUGCACAGAUGAUUGAUGAGAAAGCACUAGAGCGUAACUUGUGUGCAGAAGGCCGGACGGGUCACAGAGGUGACUCCGGUAGAGUGAUAGUGAUAGAUUUUGAGCUCUAGGUUCAACCGUACAGGGCUAUUAGAGGGCCUCCGGUUGAUUACUUUCUUGCACCUGAUAUGAUUAUUGUUGAUGCAUUCAUCCAUAUUUAACUGUUGAAUUAGACAUGGCAUGGCAUGUUUGAUAAAGAAAAAUGUUGAAAUAGUAAAAAUGAAGUUUUGAGAAUAUAUAUGUAUAUUUUAUAUUUUACAUUUCUGGGAAAGUAUACAGGUUUUACGGAGAGGGGUUACAACGUUUUGAGAAAUGUUUGGAUUUGGAAAAGAAUUGUUUUACUGACCCACUCAAUUUUGGUUUUGCGCCCCUCCAGGUUCAAGAAUCACAAAGGUGUGGUGACUACGAGGAAUUCGACGGUGUUCUGACAGAUUGGACAAAAAUUAGGACUCACCUUCGGGUGUAUCAACUUAUAAAUUGUAUCUUAAAGCUUCCGUACUGUGCAAAUGGUUACGUCACUCUCACGUGACGGCCAGCAUGCCCUCCUUCGGGAUGGGGUGUGUCAGUUGGUAUCAGAGCAUGGUUGCAAUCUUGGACAUUUUGAGAAGUUCUAGUGAAUUCUGUCAGAACUACACCGCCUCGUAGCAAACCACGUAGUUAGAGGAACUUAGUCUCCCUGAUUUAGCGGUUUAGGGGGAAACUAUUAUUAUGGUGAUUCAGUAUAUUAUCAAAAUGGACAUUUUAAGAUGGGUAAUGAGUUGAACUUGAAUCACCUAAGAGAAAUGAUGAACCUGAGGGAGCGAAGUAACGGUUUAACCAUUUGGAAAAGAUGUUUCAGAUUAUGCAAGUCAAAGGAAUCUUCCUUCUGACAGGGGGUCGAGACGACUACCUGGUUUUUCGGUAAUGAAUUUGCAUCCUGGUGGAAACAGGAAUGUUAAUUGUUGUCACCAGAGGAAUCAGCCGAUUUAAAAUUUUUUAUGGAAAAGUUUAUCCCUCCGGCAUUUAUUGAUGGUAGUAAACAAGAGUUUACAAAUAUGAGACAAUGAAGGUGAUGAUCGAGGGAUAUUAUAGAAAGUUUUUAGACUUGCCUCGUUCCAUCCAGAUAUUGUUGUUAAUUUGGUGGAGGUGUUAUGUUGUUUUAAGCUGGGUGGCAAAAAGGGAAGUGGUAAUUUGGGUGACCACUAUCCAUUGUAUUUCUUACCAAGAGUAUACAAGAUGUUGUUGAGCCUUGAGGACUCUGAGAAUAUGAUCAGCUAGAGUAAAAGAAGAAUAAAGAAAAGAUUGGGAAUUAAAAAAGAAGACGAUAAAGUUAAUGAUUCGUCAUAUCAAGGAUAUAGAAAGAUUCAGAGCUUCAAAAGAAGUGAAGCUAGAGUUAAUUCUUCCAGCAGAGGUUUUAAUGUCGCUGGUCAGAAUAAAAGUGAUGGAUAUACUGGUAAUCCCAGAUAUUUGAGACAAGGUGUCUCGAGUAAAGGAAAUAUACUUUGUGCAGCAGGUACAAAAUUAACACUUUGGGAAGUGUGAAAUUAAUGAAUGUGUUUAUGUGAACAGAGGGGACACAGAAUUGUGAAUCGUCCAUAGAAUCAGUUGUACUCAACAAUUUUCCAUGAUAUCAUAGUGUCGAUUCAGCAGAGUUAUGGACUUAGUAGUUUGGUCGGAUUGACCGUGAGUAUAGAGAGAUUUGAUGAGUUAUAUGUUCAGCUGUACAGACCAUGAGAAGUGGAUUCGACUGACACAUGAGAAAUUGGUGAGUUAUAGGCUCGGCCGUACCGACCACGCGGAGUGGAUCCGGCCGUAUUAUUGAGAUAAUUGUUGAAUCAGCCGUACGGGUCAUUCUAGUUGACUUCGGCUGAUAUAUUUCUUAUUAUGUAUGUUAUUACCUUGAGAGUAGUAAAUAAAUGUAGUUGAGAUGAGUGUAUGUAUUUUGCAUUGAGUGACAAAAUAGUAAUGUUAUAUCUUUGAGAGUGGUUGCCUACUUAUCGAGACAACGAUGAUUUAUCAGUAUUGCGGGCUGCAGACCGUAAUAUUAAUAACUCAUUCGUGGAUUCGUUAAGCAAGCAAACCGGUAGAUUAUUUUAUGUUAGUAUAAUAAAAUAUAUAUUGUAUCAGUUAAUUCUGUUCCAUUAGAUUGGUUGGUUAUAAUUGUGAUAAGACGGAAUGUUACGGGAAACCAGUACUUUCCAUCGAUCUGGAUGACCAGAGAUUACUUUUGUAAGUAUGCAAAAUGGAUUGAGUCAGGCCGUUAUUAAUGCUGUGAGAGCAAAUAGAUUGUUUUCGAAAGGCUGUCAAAAAUACUUAGCUCAUGUGGUACUAAAGGAUGUUGCUCGGAGAAGUGUGAAAAAUGAAAAAGGGGUUAGACUUUUUUUGAUGUCUUCCUUGAAAGUAUACCUGGAUUGCCUUCAGGCAGAGAUAUGAGGUUCACUAUUGAAUUUGUUGCCAGGUAUAAUAAAUCUUAUGAUAGAGAUUGGUUCAUGAUGAGUUAAGUGAAUUGGAAAUUCAGUUGAAAGAAUUGGUUGAUAAAAAAUUUCAUUCAACCUAGUACAACACUUUUAAGGAGCACCAGUUUGUUGGUGAGAAAGAAAAUGGACUUAGAGAUUGUUCAUUGAUUAUAGACAAUGGAAUUGGUAACGAUCGAGAACCGUUAUCCAUGAUAGUGUACUGAUGUUUAGUUGAUAAGCUCAGAGAUGUUUGUGUAAUUUCAAAGAUUGAUUGAGGUCUGGUUAUUACCAAUUGAAGAUUUUGAGCGACAUUGAUCAUAAGAUGGUUUUCUGGAUUUGUUAUGAUCUUUUAUGAGCUUUGGUGAUGCUAUAAGAAAACUCACGUUGUUUUAGGAGUUUAUGGAUGAAGUAUUCCACGAAUGUCAUGAUAAAUUGUUAUCAUUUGUCAUUGACGAUAUUCUGGUACAUUCUGAGCCAGAGCAGAGCAUGUAAACAUAUUAAGUUGGUGAAGCAAAGAUUGGAAGAAUGUCGAUUGUAUGCAAAGUUUAGCAAAUGCGAAUGUUGGAUGAAUCAGGUGGUAUUCUGAGAUUUGUUAUAUACUCUUAAGGUAUUCAAGUGAAUCCUUAAAAGAUAGCAGAAAUUGAGAAUUUGGAACAACCACGAGUCGUAAUUGAGAUUUGGAAUUUCUUAGCUUACCAGGCUAUCUUGGAUGGUUGUGAAAGAUUUUUUUUAGUCAUUGAUUUGUCAUUGAUGAGACUGUUGAGAAAAGAGAUUAUGUAUGAGUGGGAAGGAAAUUGUGAGCAAAGGAUUCAAUAACUGAAGUAUUUCCUCACUCAUGCACGUAUUUUUUGGUAUUCCCAGAGAAAAUAGUGGUAAUCAUAAAUUUUUAGUGAUGUUUCUUGAAUGGUAUUGGAGGCAUGUUGAUGCAAAUGUUAGGGUGAUUGCAUACGUUUCACGAUAAAUGGAAUCUCAUAAGAUGAAUUACCCUACUGGUGAUUUGGAAGUCACGAUUACCAUUCUUGCUGUGAAGUUAUGGAGACAUUAUAUUUUAGUGGGAAUGCAAGAUUUUUUUUUACGAAUCCAAAAAGUCUUCAAUAUCCAUUACUUGGAAGGAUUUUGAUAUGAGGCAGCGAAAGUGAAUUGUAUUGCUUAAUGAACAUGAUUGUACGAUCAGGGUGAUCGUAAAAUUUGUUCUAGCUGAAGCACUUGGUGAGAAGACUACAGUAAGAUUAAUAUCUGGCACGUUUGCCAAGAGUAUCAUUUUGUGGAUUGAAAACCAACGGAAGAAAAAUUAAGAAUGGAAGAUCGAGAAGAAGUUAUACUUGUUAAGUAACAAGUUAGUACAUUUACUCCAGUGUUGAGUAACAACCUUUCCCAGACAGUGCAACACUACUUAUUUGUUUUAUGGAAAAGAGAAUUGGAUUACGGAACUGCUAAGUUUCUUAAGUAUGUUGGUUGUGCAGUUUCCGAAGUAACGCCAUAAGGACCAUGAAAAUGUGUCACGUGAGUCGGUUUUUGAUGACUUGUGAAUGGAAUGUUUCUGGGUAGAGAAAGAUUCGAUCGAGAAAGAGUUUUAGUAGACCCUGAGACUAUGGAUGAGUCUCCUUAAAGUAUUCAGGUGAUUAAGUUAACCUGAAGUAAUCAGGAAAUGGCAAAAGAGAUCAACAGAUGGAUAUGCCACUAAUCAAGUGUAUAAGACAGAUGGUUUUAUAUUUUCGAAGUUUUCACCUUGGAAAAGUGUGAUUCGGUCUGGAUAGGAAGGCGAGUUAAAUCCUAGGUGAACCGAAUUUUAUGUGAUCAUCGAAGGGUUGGUGAAGUUGAAUACAGAUUUAAAUGGCUUCCAGAGUUGUUGUAAGUACAUGAUGUGUUUCAUGAUUCGAUAUUUUGGAAAAUUCACCACGAGCAGAAAUGGCGAGAAUUGGAAAGGAGACAAGAUAAGAUUUAGACACAUCAGACCAUUUUUGAUCACUAAAGGAAUCAAUAAAGUUGCAUACAAGUGGUGAUGUCUUCAGAGUUGGCUAAGGUACUUAAUGUAUUUUGGGUUCGAUACGUUGUCACUAGGUGGUAGAUUCGUCACAUGAGAUUCUGGUGCAACUAUUGAGAAUUAAACUGGAUUUGAUUGAUAAGGAACUAAGGACGAUUUUGGAUUGGAGAAAGGAAGUCCUAAGAAUUAAAACAGUGUAAGUGGUAAAAGUUGUGUGAAGAAAUUAUUCGGUGGAAGAAAUUACGUGGGAGAAGAGAAUCGGAUGAGAGAGAUUUACCCGAAGCUAUUGUUGGAGUAUGGUUGAUUUAGUUGGUUGCUGGAAUUUCGGGGACGAAAUUCUAUAAGGUGGGUAGAUUGUCACAGCCCGUCCCAAAGUUUUACACUCGUGAUUGUAAAUUGACGGAAUUUCCCUUAAACGUGAUUAAGAUAUGUGAAUCAUAUAUUGGUGAAAUAUAUGUUUCUAAGUUAUUUGGAGAUGGAAUUUUAUGAUUUGGGGUUAGGUAGGACCACACACCUCAAAUCCCUCCCUAUUUCCCGUACCCUGUCUCUCUCUCUCCUCCCUCACAAUCUCUCAUUCUCUGUCUCUCUCCCUCUCCUUCGAACUCACACAGACGAGCUCCAAAACCACCCUAAAUCUAUACCAACGACGGAGUUAAGACCACCAUCGAACUCCUGGAGACUCCACGAUCACGUAGACACCAAUUUCAGGUAAGUUUUACUUCGGAAAACCUAGAUUCUAAACUCCCUGUGAAAGUGCACUGUUCAUGAUCUUCGAAUUGACUUUGUUUUAGGACAAUCCAAGCUCACAGUGAGCUUAGUAAGGUUCCAAGGAAGCUCGGAGUGCUUCGUUGGAAGUUUUUGGACGUAAGAACUCGGAGAUCGACAAGUUCAAAGUUUGGCCGGAGCUUUCGAGGCAUUUUCCGGCGAAUCCCCGGCGAGUUAGGAGUCGAGGUAGGUAUCAAUCUCUUCGUCUCGUCAAGUACUACACAACUUUCCUUUUUGUUUCACUCAAAUUUCGUUGAGUAUUGAAGAAGUUAUACUCAUUUGAAAAAUACCCAGUUUCCGGCGACCUCCGAGGCUUUCGAGGCAGUUUCCGGCCAAACCACGGCGAACUAGGUGUUGUGCAAGGUACCAUUUCUUUGUCUCUUCAAGGGCUACAACUUUCGUUUUUGAAUCACUUGAUUUCGUUGAGAAAUGACAAAGUUAUGACAAUUUGAAAAACUGCCCGGAAAACGGCCGCCGGAAAAACCAGUCCGGCGACCCAAGGAAGAAGAAGGUGCUACAGUUAAAAAAAAAAAAAUUAAAUAAAAUUAUUUUAAAAAUAUGUCGACGUCCGUGACGUCGAGUAGAUCACCGUGGUAUAUUCAUAUACCCAAUUUGAGCACCGUAUGAGAAAGUUAUUAAGGAUUGUUGGUUAGGUGUUCGAAUAACGUUUUAUAGUUUUGGUGAAAAUGUGAAUUGACGAUCCGACCGUUGGAUCGUUACCAAACUUUGAUACGUUGUAAUACGUAAUAUUUGAGGAUUAUUGGAACUUACGGAUUGGGAAUCCGAGUUACGGAUCUUCCGGAAUUGGAAUUGUAAGUUCAUAAAAUAAAAUGUUAACCGUCACUUAGUUUUGGAAAUUGACGGAGAUCCGACCGUUGGAUGGUAAUGAAAUUUUAGGAAGUUGUCCUAGAGGUAUAUUGUGGACCUCUGGAAGUUAUGGAUUUAAAAUCUGAGUGGCAGAUCUUCCGGAUCGAACUACGUAGUGACGUAUUUUAUAUAAGUUAUAUAUUCUAUCACUAUGAAUUCUGAGGUUGGAAUUAAUUAUUGUUUUAGGCGCCGAUCGUCAUGACGCCUUGGCGUAUUGUGCUAGGGAGUUGUAGGGCGAACUCCAGGUGAGUGGGCAGUUUUGUUUUCCGUAUACAUAUAUACUUGCCGUUUCCCAGAAAUUGAAAAUGCAUGAAAUUAUGCUUUUAAUGAAAAAUGUAUAAAAGUAUAUGAGAUAUAUUAGUUGAAAUGCCAUGCAUAAAAGUAUAUGAAAAGUAUAUAGAAAUGUGAAUCGAAUUGCCAUGCAUGAAAUGAUAUGAAAAGUAUGAAUUGAGAUAUGAUGCAUAUGUAUGAAUUGGUGCGGCGGACGCACAGAUGAGUAUCAGGUGAGUAUUUAAUUACUGUUAUGAUGAUGUUGAUAUAUAUUGAGCUCAAAUCCUGCACCAUGGUUUAGUGCUUAUAGUAUUCACCGCAUCGCACGCUCGCCUUGGAUCCAAGUAGAUGCUAGUCGUACAGUCCACGCGGAGUGGGUACGACAGGCCAGUCGCGAGAGUGUUAGUGAGAUUCCGACUGGUGGGUGACCUUAGAUUAUGUGCACAGAUGAUUGAUUGAUGAGAAAGCACUAGAGCGUAACUUGUGUGCAGAAGGCCGGACGGGUCACAGAGGUGACUCCGGUAGAGUGAUAGUGAUAGAUUUUGAGCUCUAGGUUCAACCGUACAGGGCUAUUAGAGGGCCUCCGGUUGAUUACUUUUUUUGCACCUGAUAUGAUUAUGUGUUGAUGCAUCCAUAUUUAACUGUUGAAUUAGACAUGGCAUGGCAUGUUUGAUAAAGAAAAAUGUUGAAAUAGUAAAAAUGAAGUUUUGAGAAUAUAUAUGUAUAUUUAUAUUUUACAUUUCUGGGAAAGUAUACAGGUUUUACGGAGAGGGGUUACAACGUUUUGAGAAAUGUUUGGAUUUGGAAAAGAAUUGUUUUACUGACCCACUCAAUUUUGGUUUUGCGCCCCUCCAGGUUCAAGAAUCACAAAGGUGUGGUGACUACGAGGAAUUCGACGGUGUUCUGACAGAUUGGACAAAAAUUAGGACUCACCUUCGGGUGUAUCAACUUAUAAAUUGUAUCUUAAAGCUUCCGUACUGUGCAAAUGGUUACGUCACUCUCACGUGACGGCCAGCAUGCCCUCCUUCGGGAUGGGGUGUGUCAUUACACCAAGCGCUUUUCAAUUUGUUGUUCUUUUAGAUUUCGUUUUCUUCCUCAUCUUCAUUUUACUCGUUUUCUCUUCAUCUUCAAUCUUUAUCUUACAAAAUUACAAGAUCCCAUUAAUCAGAUACUCACAAAAUUACACAUCAUCUAAUUGAAAUCCAAAGAAUAUUAUGAAAGUAAUUUCUCAGAUUCUUGAUGCUUGUAAAAUGAUUUUCUAUGCAAGAAUUUCGAUAAAUACAAUACAUACAAGUUUAUGCAAGAAAACAUGUAAGUUAUCCGUUUAAAUCUGCUAUGUGAUUGAGCAAGUAAAUCCAUACAAUAUUCAUCUAAAUAUCAAACGAGUUAUAUAACAACAAAAACCCAAAAGCACUUUUUUGUAAUAUUUUCUUUUUCACUCACGGUCCCGUUACCUAAUAUCCGAAUGUUUUUUUUUUUGUGAUUUUUUACACAUGCUAUCUCGGAGUAUAUACAAACAUAUUUGACGGUUGGAUCGUUGAAACUAGUUUCGUAGAAUGCAUAUCCUAUCAAAUUGAUAGAUUUAACAAACACUUAAGAGUUAAUGUUAUACUUUCAUUAAGUAUAAAAAAUUAUCCACUAGUGUAAAUAUUUUAAAUUGAAGAUCGAAUUCUUUCAAUGCAUUCUUAUAGGGUCGAGGAGUGUAGCUGUAAAAAAUCAUCAAAAUCGGAGCUAAAAUAACCGUUAAAUUGUGAUUUUUCGUUUAUAACUGUUGAAAACUUUUGUUCUGUUACCUAAUCUCUGAAUGUUUGUUUUUUGUCAUUUUUUAG
rnacentral:lncRNA from 1 species